UGGGGAAUAUUGCACAAUGGGGGAAACCCUGAUGCAGCAACGCCGCGUGAGUGAUGACGGCCUUCGGGUUGUAAAGCACUGUCUUCAGGGACGAUAAUGACGGUACCUGAGGAGGAAGCCACGGCUAACUACGUG
rnacentral:rRNA from 1 species